rnacentral:rRNA from 1 species
UACGGAGGGGACUAGCGUUGUUCGGAAUUACUGGGCGUAAAGGGCGCGUAGGCGGUCAGACCAAGUCGAGUGUGAAAUUCCAGGGCUUAACUCUGGCACGCUCGCUCGAUACUGGUCGGCUAGAGUGUGGAAGAGGAUGCUGGAAUUCCCGGUGUAGUGGUGAAAUGCGUAGAUAUCGGGAGGAACACCAGUGGCGAAGGCGGCUUUCUGGCCUGUUCUUGACGCUGAGGCGCGAAAGCUAGGGUAGCAAACGGGG